AGUGAACGCUGGCGGUAGGCCUAACACAUGCAAGUCGAACGGCAGCACAGUAAGAGCUUGCUCUUACGGGUGGCGAGUGGCGGACGGGUGAGGAAUACAUCGGAAUCUACUUUUUCGUGGGGGAUAACGUAGGGAAACUUACGCUAAUACAGCAUACGACCUACGGGUGAAAGCAGGGGAUCUUCGGACCUUGCGCGAUUGAAUGAGCCGAUGUCGGAUUAGCUAGUUGGCGGGGUAAAGGCCAACCAAGGCGACGAUCCGUAGCUGGUCUGAGAGGAUGAUCAGCCACACUGGAACUGAGACACGGUCCAGACUCCUACGGGAGGCAGCAGUGGGGAAUAUUGGACAAUGGGCGCAAGCCUGAUCCAGCCAUACCGCGUGGGUGAAGAAGGCCUUCGGGUUGUAAAGCCCUUUUGUUGGGAAAGAAAAGCAGCAGGUUAAUACCCCGCUGUUCUGACGGUACCCAAAGAAUAAGCACCGGCUAACUUCGUG
rnacentral:rRNA from 1 species